UACGUAGGGGGCGAGCGUUGUCCGGAAUCAUUGGGCGUAAAGCGCGUGUAGGCGGCCAUCCAAGUCCGAUGUGAAAGCUCGGGGCUCAACCCCGAGUCUGCAUUGGAAACUGGAUGGCUUGAGUCCGGAAGAGGAGACUGGAAUUCCUGGUGUAGCGGUGAAAUGCGCAGAUAUCAGGAAGAACACCGGUGGCGAAGGCGGGUCUCUGGGACGGUACUGACGCUGAGACGCGAAAGCGUGGGGAGCAAACAGG
rnacentral:rRNA from 1 species